rnacentral:rRNA from 1 species
GAUGAACGCUGGCGGCGUGCCUAACACAUGCAAGUCGAGCGGAGAUACUGAAGUAGUAAUACGGAAGUAUUUUAGCGGCGGACGGGUGAGUAACACGUGAGUAAUCUGCCUUCUGCAGGGGAAUAACAUUGUGAAAACAGUGCUAAUACCGCAUGACAUAGCACCGGGGCAUCCCGGAGCUAUCAAAGGAGAAAUCCGGCAGAAGAUGAACUCGCGUCCGAUUAGCUAGUUGGCGGGUAAAGCCCACCAAGGCGACGAUCGGUAGCCGAACUGAGAGGUUGAUCGGCCACAUUGGGACUGAGACACGGCCCAGACUCCUACGGGUGGCAG